ACAGCACGAUGUUUUCCUUCACUUCAAGCAAGUGAUAUUUAAUUACUUAAAACGCAUAUACCUAACUCCGAAAAGUUAGAGAUGCGUGCCCGGGAAUGAACCCCGACCUGCGAUUUGGAGGCGGACGUCCUAACCACUAAGCUAUAACAG